CCCCUCUCAGAGUUGCAUCUGGAGAGUUUCCAGUCCUUUACUAGUCUCGGCUGUGGGAGGAAGAGUCAAGCAGAGGCCUAUCCAUUCCAUUCCUAGCUUGGGCAGUGGCUAGUAAGUGGAAGGUAAUCUGCUUUAAGU